AAUGGGAUAGCUGGGUCAAAUGGUGGUUCCAUUACAAGUCUGAGGAAUUUGCAUACUGCUUUUCAUAAUGGCUGCACCAAUUUCCAGUCCCAUCAGCAAU
rnacentral:pre_miRNA from 1 species